rnacentral:lncRNA from 1 species
CUACUAAGAUUUUGCUAUAUCCGAUGAAAUAAUCGAGGUGACCAAAGUAACCCUAUUAAUUAGACAACUUACCAUCUGUUUUUUUUUUCAGCCUCCAACAUUAAUUAUUCACCUCUACUCCAUUAAUAUUCUUUAUCAACUUUCACAUUCUUUUUAUUAGGCAAUUUUUCAUAUAUUUUUCACACAUAGAAAGAAAGAAAAUGGAUGCUCCCCCAAAAUAUCAAAAUAUGUCAUAUUAUGAUAAUGUCCAAAGGCAACAUGAAGAAAAAGGAUGCCUCUAUGCUUGGUUUGUUAUUUUUUUUUUUUUUUAGUUUUACUUUAUUAGUGAAAAAUAAAUAAAAAUUAGUAGAGUUACAUGAGAAUUGACAUAAUUAUUUUAUUUUUUCAAGGACAUUUUCUGCUAAUUUUUUUUUAAUAUUUGAAGUUGAAGUCAAAAUUAUUGUUUGGACUUGAAUUUUACUUCUUCUUUUUGAUGUUUUGUGAGCGAAAAUCGGUAAUUAUUUCACUUGAGAUUGUUCGACAGUUAUAGCUCCGCCCCAAAUAGUUAAUCGUUUACUAAUUUGAGAUUGAUGUGUAGUUGAUUAAUAGAUAUAUAAGUAAAUUUAUAUAAAUAUUAUCAUGUUUAUUCUAUUUUUUUUUAUAUUUUUUAAUGUGAUUUUAUAAAUCUUGAAAAUGCAGUAUGUUUGCGAUGUGUUGCUGCUUCUGCUGCAAUGAAAGGACUUGUUGUUGCUGUUAGCACAAAUUAAUCAUCAUCGUCGUUGAUUAUGUUAUUCAAAUUCUUCAAAAAUAUUGUCUGAUGUGUGUGAUUCUCCAAAAAUUAUGUAUUUUUAUAUGAUUUGAUACGAAUACAAUAACAGUUUUUAAGAAUUCGAGCAAAAUAGAUGCAGAGUAGCUUGUAAUGUUGAUGUUUCGAUAAAAUUGGAUGUUAAUCGAUUAUACUGUGUUUUAUAUUCUUGUAAUGUAAUUAAUUUCUCUUACACUAAGUAUUGUAUCGUUACUUUACCUACAACGUUUGUUUUGAUUGUUACUUAAAAAUGUAUUGUAUUGUAUUGUUAAAUUUCGUUGUUACGUAACAAUAAAAACCCCUAUUUUAUGGAACAACCGAUUUGGUGUGUUCCCAUUGUUACUUAA